UAUAGGGAUUGGAGCCGUGGC
rnacentral:miRNA from 1 species